rnacentral:rRNA from 1 species
UACGUAGGGUGUAAGCGUUAAUCGGAAUUACUGGGCGUAAAGCGUGCGCAGGCGGUUUUGUAAGUCUGUUGUGAAAUCCCCGGGCUCAACCUGGGAAUGGCAAUGGAGACUGCAAGGCUAGAGUUUGGCAGAGGGGGGUAGAAUUCCACGUGUAGCAGUGAAAUGCGUAGAGAUGUGGAGGAACACCGAUGGCGAAGGCAGCCCCCUGGGUCAAAACUGACGCUCAUGCACGAAAGCGUGGGGAGCAAACAGG